rnacentral:rRNA from 1 species
GCCAGCAGCCAUAUCACCCUGUAACUCACAGCUGGCAGGCCCAAUGAAGCUCAGCAGGUGUGAGCCUGGUCAGUACCUGGAUGGGAGACCUCCUGGAAAAGCUGAGGCAGCUACUGGAA